GCCGAGUCCCCGGCUGGAGGGUCCCCGGGGAGGGCCAGGGAGAGCGCGCGGCGGACGUGCCCGAGACGCGCGGCGGCACCGGGAGGCCGGGCCGAGCGGUUUUGAGAGAUUACCUGAAGUUGCACUCAAAAGCAAGAUAUACUACUAGCUUUGAAAUGGAAUAAGGCCCUCCCUAUCCUGAAGACAUUAGCUGAGAGUCUGGCACCUUUUAAAGGUCUGAUCAUCAAUUGUCUCUCUGGGCAGCCACCUAUGAGACUUCAUCUAUAUGGUUAUACCUUAUUGGUGUGGAUGUUGUUGUCUAAAUUUCGGUAGCCAUGGCACAACAAUAUAAGAAAGCAUGGGAUUAUGGCAGCCACAGAAUCUCAGUAAUAUAAGUUCCAUU
rnacentral:sRNA from 1 species